CACCGCCCGUCACACCAUGGGAGUGGAUUGCACCAGAAGUGGCUGUGCUAACCCGCAAGGGAGGCGGCCCCCAAGGUGUGGUUCAUGACUGGGGUG
rnacentral:rRNA from 1 species